rnacentral:rRNA from 1 species
CCAAGGAGUCUAACAUGUGCGCGAGUCAUUGGGAAUGUAAACCCAAAGGCGGAAUGAAAGUAAAGAUUCGAUUGCGAAUUUGAGGAGAGAUCAUGGCUUUUGUUUGGGAUUCUGUAAAGUUUCCUGGAGAAAGUAUGCGCAUCUCCUGGACGUCUAUACCUCUGAAGGUGGGGCGUACCUAGAGCGUACACGUUGGGACCCGAAAGAUGGUGAACUAUGCCUGGUCAGGACGAAGUCAGGGGAAACUCUGAUGGAGGUUCGUAGCGAUUCUGACGUGCAAAUCGAUCGUCGGAACUGGGUAUAGGGGCGAAAGACUAAUCGAACCAUCUA